rnacentral:rRNA from 1 species
UACGGGGGGGGCAAGCGUUGUUCGGAAUUACUGGGCGUAAAGGGCGCGUAGGCGGUUCGAUAAGUCAGCUGUGAAAACCAUGGGCUUAACUCAUGGCCUGCAGUUGAGACUGUCGGGCUGGAGUGUGGGAGAGGAGAGUGGAAUUCCUGGUGUAGCGGUGAAAUGCGUAGAUAUCAGGAGGAACACCGGUGGCGAAGGCGGCUCUCUGGACCACAACUGACGCUGAGGAGCGAAAGCCAGGGGAGCAAACGGG